rnacentral:rRNA from 1 species
CCUANGGGGGGCUGCAGUGAGGAAUUUUGCGCAAUGGGGGCAACCCUGACGCAGCAACGCCGCGUGAGUGAUGAAGGCCUUCGGGUCGUAAAGCUCUGUCAAGUGGGAAGAACCUAUUAUAUGUGAACAGCAUGUGAUACUGACGGUACCACUGAAGGAAGCACCGGCUAACUCCGUGCCAGCAGCCGCGGUAAUACGGAGGGUGCAAGCGUUAUUCGGAUUUACUGGGCGUAAAGGGCGCGUAGGCGGUUGGACAAGUCAGGUGUGAAAUCCCGGGGCUUAACUCCGGAAGUGCAUCUGAAACUGUGCGGCUGGAGUAUGGUAGAGGGAAGUGGAAUUCCUGGUGUAGCGGUGAAAUGCGUAGAUAUCAGGAGGAACACCGGUGGCGAAGGCGACUUCCUGGACCAAAACUGACGCUGAGGCGCGAAGGUGUGGGGAGCAAACAGGAUUAGAUACCCGGNUANUC